rnacentral:rRNA from 1 species
AACGAACGCUGGCGGCAUGCCUAACACAUGCAAGUCGAACGAGACCUUCGGGUCUAGUGGCGCUCGGGUGCGUAACGCGGGGGAACCUGCCCUUAGGUUCGGAACAACUCCCCGAAAGGUGUCCUAAUACCGGUUAAUGUCUUCGGACCAAAGAUUUAUCGCCUUUGGAUGGGCCCGCGUUGGAUUAGCCCGUUGGUAGGGUAAAAGCCUACCACGGCGACGAUCCAUAGCUGGUCUGAGAGGAGGAUCAGCCGCACUGGGACUGCGACACGGCCCAGCCUCCGAGGAAGCGCAGCAGUAGGGAGGAUAAGACGAUGGAGCAUAAUCUAGUCCAGCCACGUCGGGGGUGUGGUGAAGGCCUUAGGAUUGUAAUGCGGUCUGACCCGAGAUGUUAAUGACAGUACCGGGAGAAUAAGCUCCGGCUAACUACGUG